rnacentral:rRNA from 2 species
AAGGUAGCGAAAUUCCUUGUCGGGUAAGUUCCGACCUGCACGAAUGGCGUAACGAUCUCCACACUGUCUCGGCCAGAGACUCGGUGAAAUUGCAGUCGCGGUGAAAAUUCCGUGUACCCGCAGAAAGACGGAAAGACCCUGUGCACCUUUACUAUAGCUUGACAUUGGAUUUUGGGCCUGCAUGUGUAGGAUAGGUGGGAGGCUGUGAACCCUGUACGCCAGUAUGGGGGGAGCCAUCCUUGAAAUACCACCCUUGCAUGUUUAAGAUCCUAACUUCUUCCGGUUAUCCCGGAGAAAGACAGUGUCUGGCGGGUAGUUUGACUGGGGCGGUCGCCUCCUAAAGUGUAACGGAGGCAUGCAAAGGUUCCCUCAGCCUGAUCGGAAACCAGGCGCUGAGUGCAAACGCAUAAGGGAGCUUGACUGUAAGAGAGACAUCUCGAACAGGAACGAAAGUUGGCGUUAGUGAUCCGGUGGUCCCGAAUGGAAGGGCCAUCGCUCAUUGGAUAAAAGGUACGCCGGGGAUAACAGGCUGAUCGCAUCCAAGAGUUCACAUCGACGAUGCGGUUUGGCACCUCGAUGUCGGCUCAUCACAUCCUGGGGCUGAAGCAGGUCCCAAGGGUACGGCUGUUCGCCGUUUAAAGUGGUACGCGAGCUGGGUUUAAAACGUCGUGAGACAGUUUGGUCCCUAUCUUCUGUGGGCGAAGGAGAAUUGAGAGGGCCUGUCCCUAGUACGAGAGGACCGGGAUGGACGCACCCCUGGUGAUCCUGUUGUCGCGCCAGCGGCAUAGCAGGGUAGCUAUGUGCGGAAGGGAUAACCGCUGAAAGCAUCUAAGCGGGAAGCCUGCCUCAAGAUAAGUUCUCCCCUCGAAAGAGCUGAAGGGCCCGGGUAGACUACCCGGUCGAUAGGCUGGAGGUGUAAGCGCGGCGACGUGCUCAGCUGACCAGUACUAAUAGCCCGAGCGGCUUAUUUUU